GACGAACGCUGGCGGCGUGCUUAACACAUGCAAGUCGAACGGUAAGGCCCUUCGGGGUACACGAGUGGCGAACGGGUGAGUAACACGUGGGUGAUCUGCCCUGCACUUCGGGAUAAGCCUGGGAAACUGGGUCUAAUACCGGAUAGGUCCCUGGGAUGCAUGUCCUGGGGUGGAAAGCUUUUGCGGUGUGGGAUGGGCCCGCGGCCUAUCAGCUUGUUGGUGGGGUGAUGGCCUACGAAGGCGACGACGGGUAGCCGGCCUGGGAGGGUGAACGGCCACACUGGGACUGAGAUACGGCCCAGACUGCUACGGGAGGCAGCAGUGGGGAAUAUUGCACAAUGGGCGCAAGCCUGAUGCAGCGACGCCGCGUGAGGGAUGACGGCCUUCGGGUUGUAAACCUCUUUCAGCACCGACGAAGCGCAAGUGACGGUAGGUGCAGAAGAAGGACCGGCUAACUUCGUGCCAGCAGCCGCCGUAA
rnacentral:rRNA from 1 species